UCUCUCUGAAUCUGCGAACGGCUCCGCAAACCAGUUGUAAACCAUAGCAAGCACGCCUUGGGCCGCCGCAAGGCGGUCCUUGGCUAUAAGGAUAACCCUGGUAAUUCUGAGGCUAAUACAUGAACGUAACCCCCGGCCGACGGGCAACUGGAAGCCGGGGACCGUGCGGGUAGGCGCAACGUUUUAUCGGAGUAGUCGCACAGUACGACCACCAUCCAAACGGUAUCCGCUUCGCUGCCUCACGGCGGCUGGCGGUGUCCGGGUGGCUCUUGCAAGGUGCUUCUGACCUAUCAACUAGAUGGCAGCGUAACGGACAUGCUAUGGUGACAACGGGUACAGAGGAUAAGGGUUCGAUCCUGGAGAGUGGGCCUGAGAGAUUGCUCACACUUCUAAGGAAGGCAGCAGGCGCGCAACGUUCCCCUUGGGCAAAGCUCGAGGGCGUUAGGGGACAUAUGAAUGCCUGCCUUAUGGUGGGCAAUUCAAAUGGGUCUGUUCUAAACAGCCUCUCGA
rnacentral:rRNA from 1 species